CUGCUAAGUCGUAAGACGAUGUAUAGGGACUGACACCUGCCCGGUGCUGGAAGGUUAAGGGGACGUGUCAUCUUUUGUUCGCAAGGGAGAAGCACUGAACCGAAGCCCCAGUAAACGGCGGCCGUAACUAUAACGGUCCUAAGGUAGCGAAAUUCCUUGUCGGGUAAGUUCCGACCUGCACGAAUGGUGUAACGACUUGGGCGCUGUCUCAACCAGAGACUCGGCGAAAUUGUAGUACCGGUGAAGAUGCCGGUUACCCGCAACGGGACGGAAAGACCCCGUGAACCUUUACUACAGCUUAGUAUUGGGUUUUGAUAUUGCAUGUGUAGGAUAGGUGGGAGACGAUGAAGUGGCAACGCCAGUUGUCAUGGAGUCAUCCUUGAAAUACCACCCUUGUUCUAUUGGAAUCCUAACUCUGAACCGUGAAUCCGGUUCGAGGACCAUGCUAGGUGGGUAGUUUGACUGGGGCGGUCGCCUCCUAAAGAGUAACGGAGGCGCUCAAAGGUUCCCUCAGCACGGUCGGUAAUCGUGCGUAGAGUGUAAAGGCAUAAGGGAGCUUAACUGCGAGACAUACAGGUCGAGCAGGUGCGAAAGCAGGACUUAGUGACCCGGCGGUAGAGAAUGGAAUUGCCGUCGAUCAACGGAUAAAAGGUACUCCGGGGAUAACAGGCUGAUCGAGCCCAAGAGUUCACAUCGACGGCUCGGUUUGGCACCUCGAUGUCGGCUCAUCGCAUCCUGGGGCUGGAGAAGGUCCCAAGGGUUUGGCUGUUCGCCAAUUAAAGCGGUACGUGAGCUGGGUUUAGAACGUCGUGAGACAGUUCGGUCCCUAUCUGUUGUGGGCGCAGGAUAUUUGAGAGGAGCUGCUCGUAGUACGAGAGGACCCGAGUGGACGAACCUCUAGUGUACCAGUUGUCGCUCCAGCGGCAUGGCUGGGUAGCUACGUUCGGAAGGGAAAAGCGCUGAAAGCAUCUAAGUGCGAAGCCCACCUCAAGAUUAGAUAUCCCUUCCGCUUCGGCGGAACUAAAGGCUCCUUGGAGACGACAAGGUAAUAGGCCACAGGUGUAAGUACAGUAAUGUAUUCAGCCGAGUGGUACUAAUAAGCCGUGAGGCUUACUUAUGCCUCCCU
rnacentral:rRNA from 1 species